rnacentral:lncRNA from 1 species
GUUUUUUUUUGGCAAUUUUUGAUGAGUUUUUGAGAAACUCGACCCCAAAUUUGGGUUCUAGGAGCUGAAAGGCCAAAAAAGGGGAUGUUUUUGUAUUUUUCGGCCAUCGGAAACGACAGAGCCCAUCGCCAAAGACCUGUGGCCGCCUCAAGAACUCGCCGGACCUCAAGGCUGGACAAGGGACAACUUAGGAGAAAAAAAGGGCUUUCGAACUUUUUUUUUUAAUGAAGGCAGAAAUGAUUUUUUAAAAGUUUCUUUUGGCUUAAAUAGGCUAUACUAAAUGGCACCGUUUGGGACCAAUGUUCAUAGAUGACAAACGACGUCGUUUUGAAGUCGACCCGCCAACCCGACCUGACCCUAGUAGGAUCCGCGUGUUUUUUUUAAAGGGGGUCUAUUUAUGCUUGUAGCUCUUCUGCCUUUGAAUCUUUUUAAUAUGAUCCUGAUUCCUUUUUUAUUUUUUUUAGAUCGCACCAUUUAGUUUUAAAUUAUUUUCAAUUUAGUCCUCCGAUUUGCCAAAAGAAUGGAGCGUCUAAUGGGCCUGGGAAUAAUUUCCCAGCUGGUCUCUGCUCCUUUUUGCGUAUCACAUUUUAGCCCAAUUUAUUAUUUAUUUUAUCUCGAUUUAUCCUUUUAAUUUCAUUUAAGUUACGAUUAAGUCCUUUGAUUUAUUUUAAUUCUUUUAUCCAUUUAUUUACUUAUUUACUUAUUUAUUAUUCCUUCACUUUUUUAAUAUUUAAAAUUGUUUUUUUUAUUUUCUUUUAUUGAGCAUUUAUUUUUUUCUUUUUUCUGUGCCUUUUUUAUUAUUAUUAUUAUUAUUAUCUAUUUAUCUAUUGAUUUAUUACUCCUUUAUUUUUUAUACAUACUUAAGAAUUAUAUUGUAUACAUGCUGUAAACGGACCAAUUUGCCCGGGUCCACAUCAAGACCAAAUAAAGAAUAAAUAAAAAUAAGAAUAAAAAAACAACAAUUAAUUAAAUGUCCAUUUACAGUUCAAAGCCCAAAAUUAUUACAGUGACCCAAUACCCAAAUUACUACCCAAAUCCAAACGGCCCAAAGGCAAUGGCCCAAUACCCAAAAUGAGCCCAAACGACCCAAAACUUUGGUCAUCAGAAACCCUAGGGCUCUCUCCCUCGUGCCGCAGCCAAGCCUCAGCCCUCGCACCGUACGACGCGCCAGCUACCUCCGUACGCCUCAGCAGCACCACGCCCACGCCUCCGUACGCCAGCACAGCCCCGUACACGCGCUACGCACCCUGUACCUGCAAAAAAGGACGAACGCGCAGCAAAACAAACAAAAAAAAAACAACAAAGAAUAUUGUAUUCUGAUUUAUUUUUCUAUCAUUUUACCCCUUCGGCUGUAAAGCCAAGGGAUUUCAUCAGUUGUAAGGUUACGCACACCAAGAGAAAGCAAUACAGACGCAAUACACAUAGAUUGAAAAAAAAAAGUAAUUUCUUAAGAAGGUGAUCUCCAUUUUCGGCUCUAUUUUUUAUUUCCUCCGAUUUUUCAUCAUUUACAUUCAAAAAAAAAAGAAAGAAAAAUGGCACUUACUUUGAGUUUAGGCCGUCGAUUCCCUUUCACUUCGUCGAAAUCGAAGUUCAGAGGGAAGUCGGUGACUGAAAGGAGCCAUGCUUCGAAGCCUGUGAGCGCCGGUCACCGUACCUUGCGGUGGGCUGGUGUCUUUGAAGAGAAAAUAUAGGUUGCGGCUAAAAAAAGGAAAUGAGGCUAGGGUUUGGCCGAAUAGGCUAAAAUAAG